UACGGGGGGGGCAAGCGUUGUUCGGAAUUACUGGGCGUAAAGGGCUCGUAGGCGGCCAACUAAGUCGGACGUGAAAUCCCCAGGCUCAACCUGGAAACUGCGUCUGAUACUGGAUGGCUUGAAUCCGGGAGAGGGAUGCAGAAUUCCAGGUGUAGCGGUGAAAUGCGUAGAUAUCUGGAGGAAUACCGGUGGCGAAGGCGGCAUCCUGGACCGGCAUUGACGCUGAGGAGCGAAAGCCAGGGGAGCAAACGGG
rnacentral:rRNA from 1 species